rnacentral:rRNA from 1 species
CACCGCGGUUAUACGAGAGGCCCAAGCUGACAGCUUAUCGGCGUAAAGGGUGGUUAAAAUUAUUACAAUUAAAGUAGAACUCCUCCUCAACUGUUGUACGUUUUCGGAGGGAAGAAAUUCACCCACGAAAGUGACUUUAAUAAAUUGAACCCACGAAAGCUAGGAC